GGAUAUGUGGGUCUCCAUCGACAGGACACAUUUGCCUGCUUCAUGAAGACCUUCCAUGAUGAUGUGCGACAUGGGCAAUUACCGUACGUGUGAUCAUGGAUGCCUCCAUCUUUCUGCAAAGUUUGUGUCAUCAGACAUUGCAGCACAUCACACCUACGACAAACGGUGGUGCCUGCCUUGUGCUGAAGACCUUCCAAGGUGACCUGGGCAGUUACCGUACUUGUGAGCAUGGGUGCUUCCAUUACCCUGCCAAGUUUGACGUAGGAGCUGCCAAGGCGUCCUGUCCCUUUCACGUGAACAGUGGCCAGC